rnacentral:rRNA from 1 species
GUCUACGACCAUACCACCCGGAAAACACCGGUUCUCGUCUGAUCACCGAAGUUAAGCCUGGUCGGGCGAAGUUAGUACUUGGAUGGGUGACCGCAUGGGAAUACUUCGUGUUGUAGACU